rnacentral:rRNA from 1 species
AAUAAGCUAUUUAAGAGCGUAAGGUGGAUGCCUUGGCUCUCAGAGGCGAUGAAGGACGUGAUAAGCUGCGAUAAGCUGCGGGGAUUGGCACACACAAUUUGAUCCGUAGAUUUCCGAAUGGGGCAACCCACUAUAUUGAAGAUAUAGUAUCCGUUAAGGAAGCAAACCCAGGGAACUGAAACAUCUAAGUACCUGGAGGAAUAGAAAACAAAAGUGAUUCCGCUAGUAGUGGCGAGCGAACGCGGAUCAGCCCAAACCAAAAUUGUUUCGGCAAUUUUGGGGUUGUAGGACCACGACAUUGAAUGUUUAAUGAAUUA